CGCAUCUUUGAGAUCGUUCUCUAGCAUCUUAGCGAUUGCAGUCCCCAACAGAAAGAGAAACUGCUCGAACUGAAAUAGAAAUAAAUACAACAAUUAACAAAGUGCGCCGUUUGUUUACUUUGAUUUACUUAACGUUUUUGAGCUUUCCGUUUAUUUUUGUUUUUUUUGUUUUUAGUUUCAUUUUUGUAUUGCCGCCUUGGUGGAGCUUGACCUUUAAUAGUCGUGUUGUACAUUGUGCCACGGGCAUCUUGGUAGGUCCACGGAUGAAGAUCGAGAUGGAGAUGAAGAUGGUGGAUGGGGAGCCGACGUGGAGCUGGAGCAUACCAAAUGGCUGCAAUUGAACUUCAAAUCCGUUUUUGGCGGCUGCCUGUGUCAAUGAUAUGGCAGAGCUGACCGCAUGCCGGACGCGAACGUGAUCACCGCUCGGCGGCGACCUUGCAGCAUUGUUGCUUUGACAAAUUUGUAGCAACUAGCGCCAGGCCACUUUGCUUGCGACCGGAUGCGGCUUGAGCUCGACGAGAUUUGGCGGUGGAUGAGGUGUUUGGUUUUCCUCUUAGCACUCUUAGCACUUUUGUGGAGUCUUUGGUGUCGUUGACGGAGGCGUAUGCGCAAUAAUCUCCAUACUGCUCGCCGUUAUCAAUUAUGUGUGCUUAGCGCUCCACUUUCGAUUUUAAUUCGCAGCACGACUCUGCCCCCUAAUAAACGUGUGAAUCUUCUCCGCCUGA